UACUUGAAGUGUGGCCCCAGGACAAGUAGUACUGGCAUCACCUGGAGUCUGUUUGAAAUCCGGGCUCUUAAGCCGCAUUCCAGACCCACUUAACGUGGUGCCCAGGCACUACAGUUGUGAUGAGGCAAUUGCAACAUUUGAAAAGACCCCAGGGAGUUUGCAUUAAAUGCGUUUCACAAGAGUGAAUGAUGGAACAGAACACCAU
rnacentral:lncRNA from 10 species